rnacentral:rRNA from 1 species
AAUGAACGCUGGCGGCAGGCCUAACACAUGCAAGUCGAGCGACCACAUAGUGAGAUCUUGCUCUUGCGGGUGGCGAGUGGCGGACGGGUGACGCUUACAUCGGAUUCUACUUUUUCGUGGAGAAUAACGUAGGAAAAGUUCCGCUAAUACAGCAUAUGUCGUACGGGUUAAAGCAGGAGUUCUUCGCGGCUUUCGUGAUUGUAUUAGCCGAGGUCGCAUUAGCUAGUUGGCGGGGUAAGGGCCCACCAAGGCGACGAUGCGUAGCUGAUCUGAGAGGAUGAUCAGCCACACUGGAACUGAGACACGGUCCAGACUCCUACGGGAGGCAGCAGUAGGGAAUAUUGCGCAAUGGGCGAAAGCCUGAUCGAGCAAAACCGCGUGAGUGAAGAAGGUCUUCGGGUUGUAAAGCUCUGUUGUUAGGAAAGAAAAAAAGCGGGUUAAUAUACGGAUGUUCUGACGGUACCAAAAGAAUAAGCACCGGCUAACUACGUG